CAGAGGUCUCAAGCGUUGUUCGGAUUCAUUGGGCGUAAAGGGUGCGUAGGUGGCGGGGCAAGUCUGGUGUGAAAUCCCGGGGCUCAACCCUGGAACUGCACUGGAUACUGCUUUGCUAGAGUACUGGAGAGGGAACUGGAAUUUACGGUGUAGCAGUGAAAUGCGUAGAUAUCGUAAGGAAGACCAGUGGCGAAGGCGAGUUCCUGGACAGUUACUGACACUGAGGCACGAAGGCCAGGGGAGCAAACGGGAUUAGAUACCCCGGUAGUCCUGGCAGUAAACGGUGCGCGUUUGGUGUAGGAGGGAUUCGACCCCUUCUGUGCCGGAGCUAACGCGUUAAACGCGCCGCCUGGGGAGUACGGUCGCAAGAUUA
rnacentral:rRNA from 1 species